GAUGAACGCUGGCGGCGUGCCUAAUACAUGCAAGUCGAGCGAACAGACGAGGAGCUUGCUCCUCUGACGUUAGCGGCGGACGGGUGAGUAACACGUGGAUAACCUACCUAUAAGACUGGGAUAACUUCGGGAAACCGGAGCUAAUACCGGAUAAUAUAUUGAACCGCAUGGUUCAAUAGUGAAAGACGGUUUUGCUGUCACUUAUAGAUGGAUCCGCGCCGCAUUAGCUAGUUGGUAAGGUAACGGCUUACCAAGGCAACGAUGCGUAGCCGACCUGAGAGUGAGAGCGCCCACACGAGAGCGGACACCGGGACCGGCCCCCUGGGGAAGGGAGGAAGGGGGAAUCUUGAUGAGGGGGCGAGAGACAGACGGAGCAACCCCUGGGGAGUGAUGAAUGUCUUCGUUACGAAAACCUUUUUUAUGGGGAAAGAAAAAAUGUAUAGGUAUCUGUCCCUCUUUGGAGGUUCCUAAAGAAGAAACCCCCGCCAAACUCCGG
rnacentral:rRNA from 1 species